GUCGAGCGCUGAUUACGGGGUAGCAAUAUCUCGUAGUUGGAGCGGCGCAAGGGUGCGUAACACGUGGGUAAUCUGCCAUGAAGUUUGGGAUAACUCGCUGAAAGGCGAGCUAAUACCGGAUGUGAUGAUCGGGAGGCAUCUUCUGAUCUUCAAAGUUGGGGACCGUAAGGCCUGACGCUUCAUGAUGAGCCCGCGGCCUAUCAGCUAGUUGGUGAGGUAACGGCUCACCAAGGCUAAGACGGGUAGCUGGUCUGAGAGGACGACCAGCCACACUGGAACUGAGACACGGUCCAGACACCUACGGGUGGCAGCAGUCGAGAAUUUUUCACAAUGGGGGAAACCCUGAUGGAGCGACGCCGCGUGGGGGAUGAAUGGCUUCGGCCCGUAAACCCCUGUCAUUCGCGAACAAUGCCUGUGGUCUAAUAAAUCACAGGUUGAUAGUAGCGGAAGAGGAAGGGACGGCUAACUCUGUGCCAGCAGCCGCGGUAAUACAGAGGUCCCAAGCGUUGUUCGGAUUCACUGGGCGUAAAGGGUGCGUAGGCGGUCGGGUAAGUCUGAUGUGAAAUCUCGGAGCUCAACUCCGAAACUGCAUUGGAUACUAUUCGGCUUGAGGUCUGGAGGGGGGACUGGAAUUCUCGGUGUAGCAGUGAAAUGCGUAGAUAUCGAGAGGA
rnacentral:rRNA from 1 species